CGGACCCCGCUCUUGCUCCACCUCCCCGAGGCCCCGCGUGGGCAGGGCCGGGGGCACCCAGACUUUCUUGGUGGCCACGGUUCUCAGCUGCGGGCCACGCUGUUCCUGAAUGAACCAAACUCAGGUUCGUUUCCACGCGACCCCACCCGGGCGCCGCCCCUUCACCCUCCACAGGCCCCUGCUGCCCCCGACCUAGGCAGCCGGCAGUUAGGGUCCUCCCAGAGCUCCAGGUGCCCUCCACCUGCCACCCCUCCUCCCGAGGGGUUUGCUCUCCACCUCAAGGUCACCAUCUCAGGACGGCGACUUCCGUCACCUACGGAUUUCCUAGUAAACCCACGUGGCAUUGCCGGGUACGUUUUCAACUUUUAUAGAAAAGUCAUCAUUCUAUACACUGAGCUGCGUUCUUCCUUUUUAACAUUUAUUUUUUAGUUGUAGAUGGACACGAGAUACACAAUAUUGCUUUAUUGUAUUUAUUUACAUGUGGUGCUGGGGAUCGGACCCAGUGCCUCACACAUGCUAGGCCAGUGCUCUUCCUCGGAGCCACAACCCCCUCCCUGAGCUGUGUUCUCUUUCCACUAACUUUAUGUUUUUGCGAUUUAUCCAUGUUGAAACGCGUAGCUCUUGUUUAUUCAUUUUACCUGGCUGCAUAGUUCUCCGUGGUUUGACCACGGUAGGCAUUAUGCAUCUAUUCUGCCAUGAUGACAUUCAGUUUCCAGUUGUUUUACUAAUACAAAACAGAAUGCGUUCGUGUGUGUGUGUGUGUGUGUGUGUCUAUCCGAAGGAGACAGACAAAGGGAGGGGACUGAGGGACAAUGAUAUGUACAUCUAUUUUACCAGACGUGGCCAAACUGCUCUCUAGGCUGAGCUACCGAUUUGCAUCCCACCAGUCGGUUACCAGGCUUCAUCCUGAGGCAAAGGAGCUGAUCCUCAAUUCACUCCUAACCUGGACACCCUCUUGUUCCCUUGCUCAGGAACUGCGUCCUCUGACGGUGUCUUGCGUUCACAGGUAAGUGCUUUCCUGGGGAUUCUUGCAACCCUGGGUAAAAUGGUUCAGCCGGGGUGUUUCUGGAGGGGCCCCCUGUUUCUGUUGCAGGAGCCCAAGGGCCACACACUAGUCGGCAGAGGAGCCUGGCUGCCCAUUGGGUGGCCCUGGCUUUGGAGAGUCUUCUCAGGACCUGGUGGGGUCCCCGCGGCUCCCUCCGAUGUGUGUUCUGAUCCCCUCCCCGUCCCCAGGAAUGAGACCCUGCGGAGUCUCAGCCCUGCCUUCACUUUGACCGGCGGUUUUGGCCUCCAGCGGGUUCCAGGCAAGAUCAUUCCAUCAAUUCCCUGGCAGUCGGCUCAGCAGAUUUAUAGGCAUCAAACCCCCCCCCCAAAAAAAUUUGCUUAAUAACAUGCUUGCGGAGUGUUUUUGUGCCCGUGUGCUCCAACAAUGCAAAGUGUUCCAGCAAAGAGGAGGCAAAUUUCUUUGAAAUUAGGCUAUUCAAAGUGACUACUCGACUCAGGGCUUUUGAUAUUGCUUUAAGGAAUCUGUUUUGCCCAUAAAAUCAUGUCUGUGCUGUGCUCGCCAUUCAGCUGACAUUUAUUCCAAUUUUCGAAUAGCAACUUCUUCCACUUUACCUUCUGUAAUUCAAAAGAGGAAUCCUUAAGUCUUUGGAAAAUUGUUUUUUGUAAUAUUCUAAAGUGAAAAUACUUGCAAAUGUGUACUUUUUAGAACAAGCGUAAAUUUUAAAAUCGGGACUAAAGUAACCUUUUAUGUGCGAACUUGCCUGCGCUGUAAAUCACGGACUGUUUUUUUCCUCUCUAUUAUUUUAGCAGGUCUCAAGGGCCCUGUGUUUGCAUGAGAUUGGAAUCGCUGGUGGGGGGCUGAGAGGGGCUCAAAUAAAAGCCGUUCCCUGUGCUGUGUGUCCUGUGAGCACUUGUCUCUGUGGCGGCUGCUGCCCCAGACCUUGCCAGUCUGUGGGAAAAUAAUCUGGUAAUACCCGUGAUGGUUCUUGUCCCCACUCCUAUUUGGGGUCUCAGGUCCCUGCUACGUUCUCUCGAUCCUUCCCCCCAGUGUCUCUCCUGGGCUCAUGCCCAAGUGGCCUCCACCUGGCACCUCUGAGCACCCUGAUCUCAGCACCUGCCUCGGCCGGAUGUGGUGCUCUCUCCCCUGGGCCAGCCCCUGGCUUCAGCCUGAGUAUUCCAGGUGACAGGCCACGACCUCGAGCCCUCCAAGGGCAGCUCUUCACGGUCUCCCGCGGGGCCCUCAUCAUCCUCUGGACCUCCAGCCAGCGGCCUCCUUACCGUUGCCAGAAUCUCACCAUCUCAACUCCAGUCACUGUGCUUGGAAGACAAAGUUUCCUUGCAGCCAGAGACGCGCAGCCCCUCAUCCAGUGUCUCCCUGGGUGUGGGGCAUCUUGAGCCCUUCCCUGGAGCAUCCCCUGACGCUGCCUGCUGUGGGGUGCAGCUGAGCACAGGACGGGGGGGUGGGACCAUCAGAGGUCAGGAGGGGUGAGAACUCUGUGUCUUCAGACUCCUACGGCCUUGGUUCUCCAACCGGGGAAGGAGUGGGUGUCACGAGUUGACCCAAGGCACACCUCCAGCUCUUUAAGGUAUUAGAGAUAGGAUUAAACCUUGCUCAUCAUUUAUCAGCAUUUAAAAAUUGGAUGCACCUCUGAGGCACCGCUCUUUUUGGUGACCUCAUUUGGAAUUCUCAUCCAUUCUCAGCCCUUCUUCUUUGCUCAUAGCAGCGUUUGUGGCUAUGAAUUUUCCUACAAGUGUUUCUUUGGCUGCAUCCCACACAUUUUGAUAGGUAGUAUUUCACCACUAUUCAGUUCUAUGUACUUUAAAUUUUUUUAUAUAUAUUUGUUUUUAGUUGUUCAUUUUAUUUCUUGUAGGUGGUGAGAAGAAUCGAAUCCAGUGCCUCACACAUGCUAGGCAAGUGCUCUACCACUGAGCCAUAACUCCAGCCUCUGUAUGUACUUUUAAAGUUUUCAGCUGAUUCAUGGAUGAUUUAGGUAAUGCAUUCAAAAAGUUUCAAACUCAAAAAGCAUAAACUGUCUACAAGGAAAACUAUUCCUUCUGCCUCUGCCUAGUAGCCAGCCUCCCACAGACAACUAAUAUCAUUCAUUAUAGUUUUCAUAUAUAGUUUAUGUGUACAUAUAUUGAGAGAGAGAGAGAGAGAGAGAGAGAGAGAGAGAGAGAGAGAGAGAAUAUCUUAAAUGUCUCCAAAGACUUAUGCGUUAAGGGCUUAAUUCCCCCAGGUUGGCGUUAUUGGGAGGUAAUGAAAAACUCCUUCUUCUUCUUUUUUUUUUUUUUUAAAGAGAGAGCAGGAGAGAUAGAGAGAGAGAUAAUUUUAAUAUUUUAGUUUUCUGUGGACACAACAUCUUUGUUUGUAUGUGGUACUGAGGAUUGAACCCGGGCUGCAUGCAUGCCAGGAGAGUGCACUACUGCUUGAGCCACAUCCCCAGCCCGGUAAUGAAAAACUUUAAGAGGUGAGACUUAGUGAGAGUUCUUCUGGUCAGUGGGAAGAUGCCUUUGGAGGGGCUGAGGGGCACCGGGUUCUCCUUUUCCUCUCUUUUUCACAUCCCAGGCAUGAGGAGAACAGUGUGCUCUGACUCAUGCUCCCACCUCUGAUGUACUGCCUGCCUUGCCACAGGCUCAAAGCCACAGAGUCAAGUGUUCAUGGAUUGAAGUCUCCAAAUAUGUGUGCCAAUGUAUAAACCUUUCCUUCUUAUAAGUUGAUUAUCUUGGGUAUUUUGUUAUAGUAACAGACACCUAACUAACACAGGUGUAUAAACAUAUUGUGUGUGUAUGCAAAGUAGGCAGAUGUACCCCUCCUCCUUCCUAGGAAAAUCCUGUUCCUUUGGUUGUGAAAUGUGUUUUAGUUUGUUCUCAGUAGAGAUCCUUCCACACCAUUACAUAAAGAGCUUCCUCGUUUGUUUUAAAAGCGGCAGCCCAAGGCCUUCCCCUGGGGCUGUGCCAGCCGGAACCCCCAGCAGCAUGUUGGGAUGGCCCCCGUUCUGCACAAAGCGUGUCUUAUCAAAUUUUGGUUCUUUGUUGAUCUAAUAGUGAAUAAUGAUCCAUUUUAGUUUUCACUGAUAUUUAUCUCAUUGCGAGUGAAGUUCAACCUCUUUUCACGUUUUGAAGUAAUUUUAUACAGAUGUGGCUUCUGAUCGCUGUUCUCCAAUAGCAGGAGGAAUGACCGCUUCUGGGUUGGGGCUGGGGAGAAUCUAAGAUGAGCUCGGAACAUCCUGUAGGGUCGGAGGUGAGGCAUCGCUGAAACCAAGACAAAACCAACCCACAACGAGGUCACAGGCCACAGGUCAUAGGUCACUGGUCGCAGGAGCCAACGCCAACGCUCCCGAUGGCCUGACUGGAGCAGCCCGAGCAGGAAGACAGUCUAGGAUGGCCUAAGCCCAAUCCCGGAAAUGGGCCCACGGAAGUCCCCGGGUCGCAGUGUGUCCUAGAAGCUGACCCCAGUGCAAGUUCGUUGGUGAGGGCUGAUCAUCUGGAUCGUUUCUGGAAGCAAUACCAGGGGAAUGGAGAAGUUGAGACAGGACAGAAGAGGAACAGUCCGUGGUUGCAUCCUGAGCAGCGGAACCCGUGAUCUAAGGCUGCUCCCGUCCAGGGUGGGAGCCCGGCUGCGGAGCCCACGCUGUCCAUCUCCUGCCCGGGAUUUCCAAAGACUCCCCACGGUGGCCUUCUGUACCAUGGUGGACCCACAUCACUGGAUGCAGAUGGCACAGCCCAGGGGCAGAGUUACUGGGUCUGGCACCUGAACCCCCUGGAGAGGAGUCCUCACCGAGGCCCAACAGAAGUGGCACUGUCCCAGUAUCCUGACAAACGGUUUGGAGCAGUGCUUCCUGGUGUCCUUCAUGGGUCAUCUCCAAAGUCCAAAGAGGCAGAUCAAGCACUGUGCCUUUUCCUGGUGGCCGAAGACGCCGGAUAAAGUGACUCAUCUGUCUCGGAAGGACCCGCCCCUUUGAGGCUCCAAGAACCUCACUGAGGCGUCAGAUGUCAGCCUUCGAAGGGCUCGUCUGCCACCCUCUGUACCGCAGGGAGGUCUUACAAGGGACCCGGGAGACGUCCCACUUCCUGCUCAUCAGGUGUGAUGAGCACAAAAUCUUCAAUGUCCUGUGUCAGUCUGCUGCUCUACGGAGUGUCCGUGAUGAAGGUCCCUGCAAAUGCAAACUGCUGUCUUAUCUUAGGUAGCUGCAGAUCACUUCUGAUACGUCUUCCUCACGGGGCCUGCAAAGGGCAUGCUCACCCAGUCUACAGCUUCAUUCCAAAUCCCAGAGGCUGUGUUGAUCUGCUCCACUGCAGAGAGAAUGCAUGUCACGACGGCAGCUUGGGGCUACCAUUGGGUCAUGUUCACCGUGAUCCAUCCCCAUCGGCUAUGAUUCGGGUGGUUUUGUGAGGGCCCCAGCGGUGCAUCACACAGGGCUACGGGGGACCACCUUCCCUGCCUUCUGUAAGUGAUCAAAGGGGACACUAGCUCUGACUGACAGCCCCUGUGCUGUUGCUCCUGGUUUUCCAUCUCGUAAGUGUGUCCACCCUCAGUACUCACUCAAGGACAGAAGAAAUGUCCCCAGGACGGUUCUCCAGGCUCACUGACUUCCUGUGGAUGGAUUUGGGCUGGACUUCACUUCUCUCUUGGAUUCUGUGAACCCCCUUCUGACAGGGAGAGUCAGGAAUUUGGGGUCUCCUGGUAUGGGUGUCAGCUCUGACCCUGUUCCCAGCAGUCCUGAGAGUCCUGGCUAUUCCCCUUCCUCUGCAUCAGAGCUGUCUGAUAAAUGACCGUAAGGAAGGAUCAAGACAAUCCUGGACCAAAGGAUCACGACUUUCAAGGUCCUUCAAAUAAACCAAAUAAACCUAAUAAAUGAGCCAAAUAAACCUCUUUUCUUUAUAAAGCUA